CAGAGGAGCAGAGUUCUUGGGGAAGGAACUUAAGCUACUGGGUCUCUGCUAAACCUAGUGGUGUUACUCCCAGUACUAUUUUGAGUUUGAAUUACUGUUUUUCGUUGGACAAUUUUUCUGAAACGACUGCUGACAAUAAAACCUCUGUUUGUCUGCAACUACUUUUUGGCUGGUCUCUGCCCUACACCCCACCUGCUGCAAAGACAAACCUCUCAUGGCAUCACACCAGUGUUAUGGCAGAGAAAUUCACCACGAUGCAAAGCAACCCCGACGCAGAAAUCCAAAAGGGUCACGACGCCGUAGGACCGAUGCCGUAGCUACACCGUGGAGUUGACACAGAAGCAUAAAACAGCCUUAAGAGGCACUGUGCCCCGCCCCUUUGUCCUAUGGCGACCUGAGGGAUCCAAUCAACACGGACUUCAACAUAAACUUGGUUAGAGAGUGCGUAAAAGACAUUUUACAGUCCCGGGCAGGGCUCUACAAUAUAGUGUCAUAGUGCUGGGGAUUAAGAAGGCUGCACAGUUGUGGGUAUGUAGGUGUGGCACACCUAUAAUUCCUGUCCCAUAGUUGGUGUAAAAUCCACCACAAGGUCACUGUGGAGACUGUGUCCCAGGGCAGUGGCGAGCAGGAUUAUUCCCUGGCACCAAUCAGUGGCCAUAAACUUUAAUUAAUCUUGACAGGUAACUGCUUGUAGCCUACACCUACCUUGGCCUUUUAGGAGAGAGGAACUAAAAGCAGAGAAGCCGUGCUGGGGUGGAGGUGACAGAGGGCAGUAGAAAAAGUAGGGUAAAGGCUUUUCAACUUCAGCAGCCAAAAAGUUCAGCUGUGAGAGCAAAUUAAAGGGCAGACAAUUCCCUGAAAUAGCCUGCCUCCCAGUCUGGAUCCCUCAAGACCAAAGUGAUGGAUGAAAACUCUUGAAUACGACCCAAAUAUAAGGUCUUGUAAACAUUACCAUUAUCAUUACUGUAAUAGUCAUAUUAUCAGACACUGCAAGGUGGUUGAAAAAAAAGAAAUAUAUGUGCAUUGAUUUAGCCGCAACACACAGAGAGGCAUUGGCUACCGAACCACUGAUGUGAAAACUGCACUCAUCCGAUCAACAGUAAUCUUUUUUUUUUUUUAAUGUAGCCUAAUGUGAAAGAAAGUGAUCACAGAACAAGGAAAACAUAAAAAGCAAAAAAAAGGUUAUAUAUUGUAAGACAGACAUAUACGACAAAAACAAACAGGCUCAAAAUAAACUACAAAACAAAAACACAGACAUAAGGCAAAACAAACAAGGAAUACAACAUAAGUUGAAACUGGUGGGUAUGUAACAAAUGAAAGCAAAAUGGAAGACCAGCAAAACUGUGUAUGCAGAUAAAGGAGUGUCCACCUCCCAUCAAAUUCUCUCCAAAAUCAUAUUUUUGUCAAAAGUCUUAGACCUUACCCAUCAAGCUCACAUGUGCAUAUAGCACAAGCAUAAGAGCACCAUUAGUAGAACUUAGCAAACUCAUUGGCUUACUUUUAAAAUAUUUACUGCAUCAACUCCAGCACUGUUAGGAUCACGUCCUCACUCUCAAAAUAACUCAAAAUAAAAUAACUCAAAAUAACUCUAGUGAUUAUUAGUGUCCAGUGUUUGGCUUGACCGAAUUAAAGUUAAUGAAUACUGGCAAGGUGUAUCCUUUUGUUGAUAUGGUAAGGAUUUCUAGGUUUUGGUGGAUCAUGUAAAGAUUUACAUAUUGAAAUAUUAUGUGACAGAGAAGUCAGGAGAGACCAGGCAGAAGACACAAGACAGAGGGGAAACAGCAGCCAGACAAAAAGAGAGGAGAGUCACGUAUGACUGGUGUGUAAGGAAUGAAUGAAAACAAUAAUACAAGACGUGAUGAACAAAGUGACGUUGUAAUUUCCAGAUUAAGUCUUUCUGUCUGGUAUUUAGGGCUUUCCCUUGCGUCAUGAUGUGUAAAAUGUUGAUUCACUUCUGGUCCCUCCUCAUCGUAACUACACUUGCCCUUUUCACCACACGAGCUGAAUCAAUAGAGGGAUUAUAUCACACAGUGACUCACUCACUUUAUUUUUUGUUGCCAUAUUAGGUGCAAAGUGCCAUCUCUAAUCCUCUUAUUGUACUACUUUGGUGAUUUGCCAAUAAAUGUUUUGUGGCUCUGUGCGCUGACA